GGGCCAAAUAAGGGAAUAUAAGCAGGCCACCCAAGCCAGCAGAAGCAACCUGCUUGGGUCACCUUCCACCCUGUGGAGGGUUUGUUCUUUUGCUCUUCCCGGUAAAUCUUGCUGCUGCUCACUUGUUGGGUUCACACCACCUUUAUGAGCUGUAACACUUACCAAGAAGGUCUGCAGCUUCACUCUUGAAGUCAGCAAGACCAGGAACCCACCAGGAGGAACAAACAACUCCGGAUGCAUUGCUUUUAUGAACUGUAACAAUCAUAGUGAAGAUCUGCAGAUUCACUCCUGGAGUCAGCGAGACCGUGAACCCACCAGAGGGAGGAAACUCUGGAUACGUCUGAACAACAGAAGGAACAAACCCCAGCCACACCAUCAUUAAGAACUGUAACACCGUGAGGGUCCGCGGCUUCAUUCUUGAAGUGAGAGAGACCAAGAACCCACCAAUUCCAGACACAAUAUACUGUCUCUCAAUUGUAAAACUCAAGUAUAAGCAACAGCUUAAGCCAGAGAAAUUUUCAUGAAAUGAUAAUGUAGGUGUUGGUCUAAAUUCCUCUGUGGGACUUAGCAGGGUGCAUCUUUGCACUGUCCUUGGCAGGGAGGAUUCAAAGUGCUCCCCAUGCGUUCUGGAGUUAGUCCAUUAGUGCUGACAACUCCUAUACAUUAUCUGUUUGUACUGAAUACAUGGGAAAGGUCUGAAGACUGUCCACAUGUGAACAAAAGAAAUAACUAAGUCCUAUAUAACAAACCUUGAUAACAUCCCUAAAAAAAUAAGAGGUCUCCAUCCUCAAAAUGCCAGCCUCAGGUGACUGAAUAAACAAAAUUUCCAGAUGUUGAAACUGGCCCAAUUGUCUCAGAACUGAUAUUUAUGGUUUCU
rnacentral:lncRNA from 1 species